rnacentral:rRNA from 1 species
CUUUCAGCAACGGAUCUCUUGGCUCUGGCAUCGAUGAAGAACGCAGCGAAAUGCGAUACGUAAUGUGAAUUGCAGAACUCAGUGAAUCAUCGAAUCUUUGAACGCACAUUGCGCCCGCUAGUAUUCUAGCAGGCAUGCCUGUUCGAGCGUUAUUU